AUUGAACGCUGGCGGCAGGCCUAACACAUGCAAGUCGAACGGUAACAGGAAACAGCUUGCUGUUUCGCUGACGAGUGGCGGACGGGUGAGUAAUGUCUGGGAAACUGCCUGAUGGAGGGGGAUAACUACUGGAAACGGUAGCUAAUACCGCAUAACGUCGCAAGACCAAAGAGGGGGACCUUCUGGCCUCUUGCCAUCGGAUGUGCCCAGAUGGGAUUAGCUAGUAGGUGGGGUAACGGGUCACCUAGGCGACGAUCCCUAGCUGGUCUGAGAGGAUGACCAGCCACACUGGAACUGAGACACGGUCCAGACUCCUACGGGAGGCAGCAGUGGGGAAUAUUGCACAAUGGGCGCAAGCCUGAUGCAGCCAUGCCGCGUGUAUGAAGAAGGCCUUCGGGUUGUAAAGUACUUUCAGCGGGGAGGAAGGGAGUAAAGUCAAUACCUUUGCUCAUUGACGUUACCCGCAGAAGAAGCACCGGCUAACUCCGUGCCAGCCGCCGCGGUAA
rnacentral:rRNA from 1 species